UACGUAGGGUGCGAGCGUUGUCCAGAAUUAUUGGGCGUAAAGAGCUCGUAGGCGGUCUGUCGCGUCGGCUGUGAAAACCCGGGGCUCAACUCCGGGCCUGCAGUCGAUACGGGCAGACUAGAGUUCGGCAGGGGAGACUGGAAUUCCUGGUGUAGCGGUGAAAUGCGCAGAUAUCAGGAGGAACACCGGUGGCGAAGGCGGGUCUCUGGGCCGAUACUGACGCUGAGGAGCGAAAGCGUGGGGAGCGAACAGG
rnacentral:rRNA from 1 species